GAUGAACGCUGGCGGCGUGCUUAACACAUGCAAGUCGAACGAUGAACCUCACUUGUGGGGGGAUUAGUGGCGAACGGGUGCGUAACACGUGAGUAACCUGCCCUUGACUCUGGGAUAAGCCUGGGAAACCGGGUCUAAUACUGGAUACGACCUUCUGGCGCAUGCCAUGUUGGUGGAAAGCUUUUGUGGUUUUGGAUGGACUCGCGGCCUAUCAGCUUGUUGGUGGGGUAAUGGCCUACCAAGGCGACGACGGGUAGCCGGCCUGAGAGGGUGACCGGCCACACGGGGACUGAGACACGGCCCAGACUCCUACGGGAGGCAGCAGUGGGGAAUAUUGCACAAUGGGCGCAAGCCUGAUGCAGCGACGCCGCGUGAGGGAUGAAGGCCUUCGGGUUGUAAACCUCUUUCAGUAGGGAAGAAGCCGGCUUUUGGGUUGGUGACGGUACCUGCAGAAGAAGCGCCGGCUAACUACGUG
rnacentral:rRNA from 1 species